rnacentral:rRNA from 1 species
GAUGAACGCUGGCGGCGUGCUUAACACAUGCAAGUCGAACGGGGCCACCAUUUUUGAAGCGAUUAGCUUGCUAAGAGUGGAAAUGUUGGCGGCUUAGUGGCGGACGGGUGAGUAACGCGUGGGUAACCUGCCAUAUACAGGGGGAUAACACUUAGAAAUAGGUGCUAAUACCGCAUAAGCGCACGGAGCUGCAUGGCUCAGUGUGAAAAACUCCGGUGGUAUAUGAUGGACCCGCGUCUGAGUAGCUUGUUGGCGGGGUAACGGCCCACCAAGGCGACGAUCAGUAGCCGGCCUGAGAGGGUGGACGGCCACAUUGGGACUGAGACACGGCCCAA